UGGGGAAUAUUGGACAAUGGGGGCAACCCUGAUCCAGCAAUGCCGCGUGUGUGAAGAAGGUCUUCGGAUUGUAAAGCACUUUCGACGGGGACGAUGAUGACGGUACCCGUAGAAGAAGCCCCGGCUAACUUCGUGCCAGCAGCCGCGGUAAUACGAAGGGGGCUAGCGUUGCUCGGAAUGACUGGGCGUAAAGGGCGUGUAGGCGGUUUACACAGUCAGAUGUGAAAUCCCCGGGCUUAACCUGGGAGCUGCAUUUGAUACGUGUAGACUAGAGUGUGAGAGAGGGUUGUGGAAUUCCCAGUGUAGAGGUGAAAUUCGUAGAUAUUGGGAAGAACACCGGUGGCGAAGGCGGCAACCUGGCUCAUGACUGACGCUGAGGCGCGAAAAGCGUGGGGAGCAAACAGGAUUAGAUACCCUGGUAGUCCACGCUGUAAACGAUGUGUGCUAGAUGUUGGGUAACUUUGUUAUUCAGUGUCGCAGUUAACGCGUUAAAGCACACCGCCUGGGGAG
rnacentral:rRNA from 1 species